GUAGCUGUCCGUCAAGAGCAGUUGGAGCUGAGAGCAGUAGCCUUUCAGCUGCUCUGACCGUAGACCUCAAAAUGGCUUUUACGCUCUGGGAGAGCUGCGGUACUUUCCUUCCUUGUUUAUCUGCUGUAAAGCUGAGCUCUCUGGUUACAGCGCUGCUAGGCCAGCCUGAUGAGCAAGAAUGAAACAGAGAGAGAGUGAGCAAGAGAGCUGAUGAGCAUGGUGAACUCUGUCUGGGUCAGAGACUGAGGGGUGAGGAGUCACUAUUCUGAUGGGUUAAAAAGAUGCGUGAGGGGCCAUCAGCCACCCAGAUCACUUUCUGAGCCUCAAGAGGGGAGGAAAACGUAUAAUUACCUCACUGAUGUGAACACAUGCUCAUGUUUCAGGCACUUUCUCUGUGUUAUUCCAUGCUUUAUCAUCAGAUCGCUAUGAUUUUUGUGAAAUGAAACCAUGAUGACCAUAUGGAUUUACUUAGACAAAUGAGUCCAUUAAUGAUGUUUCAGAAACCAAACUUAUACAGUAAUAUUCUGUUGCCUGUGACAGAUUCCUGUGGUUUUAUCUGUAGACAGUAAACAAUGGUAAUAGAUUAGUCAAGCAUGCAUAACAGCAAUUUAAAUAAAUUAAAGCAGUUCACUUUUAUUAGCUUGUGGUCUUAGUUGAAUAGCUAUUCAUUGCCCACUUUUUUUAAUGCCAUGAUCACAUUUAAGUGUCAUUAAUUCAAUUGCUAAAGUGCACUGACUGGAACUUAUCUGAAACUUAUCCGGACCGUUUGGUGGGGCAGAUUAGCAAGAGAAAGGUUUGGUGAGGGGGGGCAUGGUGCAGGUGCUGUGGUCUCAGCCUGUCCUGGCACAGCUCAGCAGCAGCUGUGUGUGUUUCUGUAUGCGUGAAUGACAUGAAUGAAUCAGCGCUCUGGCACGGGUUGAAACCGUCCUGCUCCUGUGUGGCUGGCCUCCAUAAAAUCCCAUCCAGAUUUCCCCAUGUUCUUAUCAUGAUGGAGAGGGCAAGCAUCCACAGGAGGUCCUCCACUUAACACCAA